rnacentral:rRNA from 1 species
AUUGAACGCUGGCGGCAGGCUUAACACAUGCAAGUCGAGCGGUAACAGAUCUAGCUUGCUAGAUGCUGACGAGCGGCGGACGGGUGAGUAACGCGUAGAAAACUGCCCAGUAGUGGGGGAUAGCCCAGAGAAAUUUGGAUUAAUACCGCAUACGCCCUACGGGGGAAAGGGGGCUUCGGCUCUCGCUAUUGGAUGUGUCUGCGUGGGAUUAGCUAGUUGGUGAGGUAAGGGCUCACCAAGGCGACGAUCCCUAGCUGGUCUGAGAGGAUGAUCAGCCACACUGGGACUGAGACACGGCCCAG